UAGACCCUGUCGUUGUGAGAAUUCUUAAUUCAUGAGUUGUAGGGAGGGACUUAUGUCACCACAAACAGAAACUAAAGCAAGUGUUGGAUUUAAAGCUGGUGUUAAGGAUUAUAAAUUGACUUACUACACCCCGGAGUACGAAACCAAGGAUACUGAUAUCUUGGCAGCAAGCAUUCCGAGUAACUCCUCAGCUCGGGCGCCUGAAGAAGCAGGAGCUGCAGUAGCUGCGGAAUCUUCUACUGGUACAUGGACAACUGUUUGGACUGAUGGACUUACCAGUCUUGAUCGUUACAAAGGACGAUGCUAUCACAUCGAGCCCGUUCCUGGGGACCCAGAUCAAUAUAUCUGUUAUGUAGCUUAUCCAUUAGACCUAUUUGAAGAGGGUUCUGUUACUAACAUGUUUACUUCCAUUGUGGGUAACGUAUUUGGUUUCAAAGCCUUACGCGCUCUACGUUUGGAGGAUCUACGAAUUCCCCCUGCUUAUUCAAAAACUUUCCAAGGUCCGCCUCACGGUAUCCAAGUUGAAAGGGAUAAGUUGAACAAGUACGGUCGUCCUUUAUUGGGAUGUACUAUUAAACGGAUUAUCCGCAAAAAAUUACGGUAGAGCGUGUUAUGAGUGUCUACGCGGUGGACUUGAUUUUACCAAAGAUGAUGAAAACGUAAACUCACAACCAUUUAUGCGCUGGAGAGACCGUUUUGUCUUUUGUGCCGAAGCAAUUUAUAAAGCACAAGCCGAAACCGGUGAAAUCAAGGGGCAUUACUUGAAUGCGACUGCAGGUACAUGCGAAUAAAUGAUUAAGAGAGCUGUAUUUGCAAGGGAAUUAGGGGUUCCUAUUGUAAUGCAUGACUACUUAACAGGAGGUCGCAAAUACUACUUUGUCUCAUUAUUGCCGCGACAACGGCCUACUUCUUCACAUUCACCGAGCAAUGCAUGCAGUUAUUGAUAGACAGAAAAAUCAUGGUAUGCAUUUCCGUGUAUUAGCUAAAGCAUUGCGUAUGUCGGGGGGAGAUCAUAUCCACUCCGGUACAGUAGUAGGUAAGUUAGAAGGGGAACGCGAAAUAACUUUAGGUUUUGUUGAUUUAUUGCGCGAUGAUUUUAUUGAAAAAGAUCGUUAUCGCGGUAUCUUUUUCACUCAGGACUGGGUAUCCAUGCCAGGUGUUAUACCGGUGGCUUCUGGGGGUAUUCAUGUUUGGCAUAUGCCAGCUCUGACCGAAAUCUUUGGAGAUGAUUCCGUAUUACAAUUUGGUGGAGGAACUUUAGGACAUCCUUGGGGAAAUGCACCUGGUGCAGCAGCUAAUCGUGUGGCUUUAGAAGCCUGUGUACAAGCUCGUAACGAAGGGCGCGAUCUUGCUCGUGAAGGUAAUGAAAUUAUCAAAGCAGCUUGCAAAUGGAGUGCUGAACUAGCCGCAGCUUGUGAAAUAUGGAAGGAGAUCCAAUUUGAUGGUUUCAAAGCGAUGGAUACCAUAUAAAAUAAAAAAGAAGCAAAAUAGAAAGAGAAAAAAUAAGUUAAGAAAUGCAGUAAUUCUUCUUUAUUCCUCUAAUUGAUUGCAAUUCAAUUCGGCUCAAUCUUUUCUAAAAAAAAAAGACUGAGCCGAAUUGAAAUAGAUCUUGAUACGAUCAUGAGACUUGACAAAUCGAGAUUCUUCUAUUCUAUAUAUCUAGAAUAUAGAAAGGUAUAAUACAAUAAACAAAUAUAAAUAAAAAUAUAGUAUUAUCGUACGAUAAUGGAAUCAAAUACGCAGUAUUUACAGAAAAGAGUCUUCGUUUAUUGGGAAAGAAUCAAUAUACUUUUAAUGUCGAAUCGGGAUUCACUAAGACAGAAAUCAAGCAUUGGGUCGAACUCUUCUUUGGUGUUAAGGUAGUAGCUGUGAAUAGCCAUCGACUACCCGGAAAGGGUAGAAGAAUGGGACCUAUUCUGGGACAUACAAUGCAUUACAGACGUAUGAUCAUUACCCUUCAACCGGGUUAUUCUAUUCCACUUCUAGAUAGAGAAACGAACUCAAGGAGAAUACUUAAUAAUACGGCGAAACAUUUAUACAAAACACCUAUCCCGAGCACACGCAAGGGAACCGUAGACAGGCAAGUGAAAUCCAAUCCACGAAAUAAAUUGAUCCAUGGACGGCACCGUUGUGGUAAAGGUCGUAAUGCCAGAGGAAUCAUUACCGCAAGGCAUAGAGGGGGAGGCGCGCCUAUACCGUAAAAUCUAUUUUCGACGGAAUCAAAAAGACAUAUCUGGUAGAGUAGAAUCGUAACCAUAGAAUACGACCCUAAUCGAAAUGCAUACAUUUGUCUCAUACACUAUUUCUGGGGGGAUGGUGAGCAGAGAUAUAUUUUACAUCCCAGAGGGUUGGAGAUACUAUUGUUUCUGGUACAAAAGUUCCUAUAUCAAUGGGAAAUGCCCUACCUUUGAGUGCGGUUUGAACUAUUGAUUUACGUAAUUGGAAGUAACCAAUUAGGUUUACGACGAAACCUAGAAAUCGAUCACUGAUCCAAUUUGACUACCUCUACGGGAUAGACCUCAACAGAAAACUGUUGAGUAACGGCAGCAAGUGAUUGAGUUCAGUAGUUCCUCAUAGAAAAUUCUUGACUCUAGAGAUAUGGAGAAGACAAAAUUGUUUGAAGCACGCACAGAACCGGAAGCGCCCCUUGUUUCAAAGAGAGGAGGACGGGUUAUUCACAUUUCAUUUUAUGGUCAGAGGCGAAGCUAAGCAGUGGUAAUUAAGACCCCCGGGUGAAAAUAGGGAUGUCUCCUACGUUACCCAUAAUAUGUGGAAGUAUCGACGUAAUUUCAUAGAGUCAUUCGAUCUGAAUGCUACAUGAAGAACAUAAGCCAGAUGACGGAACGCGGAGACCUAGGAUGUAGAAGAUCAUAACAUGAGCGAUUCGGCGGAUUUGGAUUCCUUUUCUAUAUAUCCACUCAUGUGGUACUUCAUCAUACGAUUCAUAUAAGAUCCAUCUGUCUAGAGAUCGUCAUAUACAUCUAGAAAGCCGUAUGCUUUGGAAGAAGCUUGUACAGUUUGGGAAGGGGUUUUUUGAGAAAAAAGAAGAAUCUACUUCAACCGAUAUGCCCUUAGGCACGGCCAUACAUAACAUAGAAAUCACACGUGGAAGGGGUGGGCAAUUAGCUAGAGCAGCAGGUGCUGUAGCGAAACUGAUUGCAAAAGAGGGUAAAUUGGCCACUUUAAGAUUACCAUCUGGGGAGGUCCGUUUGGUAUCCCAAAACUGCUUAGCAACAGUCGGACAAGUGGGUAAUGUUGGGGUGAACCAAAAAAGUUUGGGUAGAGCCGGAUCUAAGUGUUGGCUAGGUAAACGCCCCGUAGUAAGAGGGGUAGUUAUGAACCCUGUGGACCACCCCCAUGGGGGUGGUGAAGGGAAAGCCCCCAUUGGUAGAAAAAAACCCACAACCCCUUGGGGUUAUCCUGCGCUUGGAAGAAGAACUAGGAAAAGGAAAAAAUAUAGUGAUAGUUUUAUUCUUCGUCGCCGUAAGGUAAGUAAAUACGUAACUAGGAAUAUGGAAAAUUGCAUUUUUGGAAUUUGCAAUAAUGCGAUGGGCGAACGACGGGAAUUGAACCCGCGCAUGGUGGAUUCACAAUCCACUGCCUUGAUCCACUUGGCUACAUCCGCCCCUUAUCCAGCUAAAGGAUUUUCUCUUUUUUCCAUUCAUUAUUAUUCUAUUUAUUCUGACCUCCAUACCUCGAUCGAGAUAGUGGACAUAGGAUGCCACUCUUUAAAAUGAAAAAAAGGAGUAAUCAGCAAAAAAAACGAAUCCUUUUGUAGCUCGUCAUUUAUUGGCAAAAAUAGAAAAGGUCAAUAUGAAGGAGGAGAAAGAAAUAAAUAAUAGUAACGUGGUCCCGGGCAUCUAGCAUUCUACCCGCAAUGGUUGGCCAUACAAUCGCGAUUCAUAAUGGAAAGGAACAUUUACCUAUUUAUAUAACAGAUCGUAUACUAGUAUUCUCUUAGGACUUGGAAGUGUAGUUGUCUUUCCUUAGCUGCACAGGCAGUAAAAGUAAAGAGCUAGAGGUCGGAUCCAUCCUCUCCUCUAUUAGGCUAGGCUGAGCAGCACUUUGCGCAUUCAAUACGGCACUAUUUGAAACUGGGCUAUUUGAACCUGGUCAACAACUUAACUUCUCUUCUUGCAGCUUUGGGUUGAUAAGAUAGUUGGUUGUGGCUUAACAGAAUUGGUACUAUGUCCAUCCUGAUCUGUGACUUUGACUCUUGCUUUGAUCCCCACGUUCCAUUAGAACGAGUGUAGGAACCCUCUCUUGUCAUAACCUAUUUGAUUUACGAGAUCUAUUAUUCAAUAGAUAAGCCACUUCUCUUGGUCGUGGGGGAACUAUGAUCGAUUCUAUACCUAAUAUAAGAUAUUGAAUGAAGGUAACACAGAAUUCCAUAAUGGUUUAUAGCAGCCGUUAAGUACCCGUUCUUUCCUGGGCACCGCUAAUCGGAAUACAACAACCGUACCAUUUUGUGGAAUAGGAAUCAGCCUCACAUCAUAAACAGCCCAGGGUUUAGUUGUUUCCCCGGAAUAGGCCUUGCUCAGAGGAUACGAAUCGAAAGCCAGUCUUCGAAUGUGCUUAGCCUUUCCCGAGGAUAUUACCUUUUCUUUGAUCCAGCGAGCAGAAGUCUUUCCCUUAGCAUUGGUUUCAUGGCUUAGGAGUACCGGUACUGUUUGAAUUGCUUUGCAAGGAAAUAGUCGUUGUAGGAUCGUAUCUCCACGGAAGUACCGUUGUAGGAUCUACUGCCGUCUACUACUAUUAUAUUAUACUAUACGAGAAUUUCCACCUUGUUGAAGAUCUGGUGGUGCUACCCGAAGACUUAAAUGAAUAGCCAUCGCUGUUAAGAACAACCGAUGCCUUAUGUAUGUGUAUUGGAUCCGCUCUUCUGUUAGCAUGAACACAUGAAUGAGAUUCUAUUCCUCUUCCUUAUUCUUAAAAAAUAGAACCCUAGGUGCGGAAGUCAAAUCAAUCCUUGUUUGUACAUCGCUGAACUUACAUACCCGGGCCCGGCUCAACACAUUCUUUUAAAACAAUCGAAUAACGGCUUUUCCAUGACUUGGCCAUUCAAUCUUGUGAACUAAUCGAGACCGAAAUUGGAUAAAGAGAUACAAAAGGAGAGGAAUACCCAAUCGAUGAAAGAACAUGAAACCCUUCUGUUUCUAUAGAGGUACGGGAAACGGUUGGGGGCAAUAAAGUAGGUGAAGUGGUUGGAUUUUGCGAGCUGUUCCAACCACUGCUGGAUGUGACUCCAAGAGCCGAACGAGAAUGAAUACCACACAGAAGAGUCAAGACCGGGCUCCCUAAUAGAAUGUUUAACCGAUCCAUUCCGGAUCGAUCGAAUUGGUACGGAAGUUGUAACAUGGGAAAAGCACAGAAAACACGACUUAUUUGAAUAACCCGGUGACCUACCAAUUGUAGAAGUAGGAUUUUUGGCAAGCAAUAAGCACUUAAAUAAUACAAUUCGAGUGUACCAGAUUCUUUAUCAUUUCGAGGAAAAGGUUCGGGAGGAAAGGGAAACAACAGAGAGAUCCGAAUCGAACCUAAAUGGGAAUGACAUGAAAAAUCUUUUUCAAAACCUAUCAUUAAGGGCGUGACGACGAUAUACGAGAGGAAAAAAAAAAACUCGUGAUUGGUGUGGAGGGGAAGAUCUGCUUAUGAAAUUGUUCAAGAAAGAGUCGUCUCAUUUCCUUAUUUCUUCGUUCUUUCGAAUUCAUUCACUUCGACGGCUGGCGCUACGCUAGCUUUGCAUGAUUAGCUCCGACAGAACAGGUACUGCAUUUCCUUAGUUGGAUCCGCUCUUUCUCUCUCGUGCAGUUGUUGCUUCCGGCUAUUUAUUCAGUCGUCAAUCAGCAUUGAUCCGGGUAGUUAGUCAGUCUCUCUCUUUUUUCCCGUCCUUCUCUAUCUAUGAAAUUCCUAAUUAAGGGAGUUCGCUUUCCAAUAUCUAAAUGUUCAUGCAAAGCAACAAACGAAAUGCAAGAACUGUCACGCAGAAGUCACACAGUAUGCUGAUCGUUCUGAAAUGAUAAAAAGUAUUGGAUUUCAUAAGAGAUUCAUACAUAGAGAUCUAAACUCAUGGAAGGGCCCGGCCACUUUACUGCUUGAUAGCGGCACUGGCUCGUUCUGGGCAAUAAGUCGACACCACUCUUACUUCCUUCUUUUGAACUUGUGUAACACCACUCGGCACUUCUUUUGUCCUUGUGGAAUAGAGAAAAGUCUGUUUUCUAGCGAAACUCGAUCUCGAUAGUAAAUCAUUGGUACGUACGAGUCCCUUAUUUGUUGAGAAAUUCUUUGUUGAUUCGCCUAUUCCACGCUAAAAAAAGGGGGACCGAGAUCUUCUUUGAACGACUGAUCUGCGACUUCCUUCCGCUCGUGUAUCAGCAAUAGAGUUUGUUUGACAACAGAUCCCAAUGCCACCUGCUUUUAGCCAAUUCGUCACUACUACUACUCUUCCUCGGAAACUCAUCCGAAUCAGAAAAGGAUGAUUCCCUAGUGGGAAAUGGGAAAAGUACUACCAGCUAUUUGACCUCGAUAGCCUGCCCCAACUAUCUAUUCUCCUCCGGCACCUUCCGGCAAGGCAUCCCUACUAGAAAUCAGAAAAAAGGCCACUUUUCUGAAACGCACUUUCUUCUUUUCCAUCCAUAGAGGGAAAAAGGACUUGUCAACUUUUGCUGCUAUAUGAAACGGAAGUGGCGAUCGCUGAUGCACCAAUACAACCUCUUGAAAGGGGAAGGGGCGCGGGGCGGUACGGAGUUGUCCCAUUCUCCUAAAGAAAGCGGCAGUGGAGGGGCACUUGUGCCGUCAACCGCACCUUAAUAGCUCAGCUCAAUCGAAAUACCAAUAGGAAGAUGGCAUUGAAACUAUAAACAGACCGAAAAGAUCCAAUCUUUCGAGGGAUAGUUUGGGAUUAGGGUGCCAUCCUUGCCUUUCCAUCCCGAACCGGAUAUACAGAACUGUGAUAGAAAUCUAGGGACAAAGGUGCCAUUCAUAGCGGUAGAUGGCGCGGAAUGCCUAAACAAAGAGAAGGGGUGUAGCGAGAUCCAAUGAACCCUGGCUCUUACUCUUAAGGAAUUGGAGGCAGUGGACAACACACACUUAUUUAUUUAUUUAAUAUUUAAUCAAAUGAAAUGCCACCAGGGAGUUGAUGCCGUGCUCCCCAAGGAGAGGCCCCUGGAAAAGCCUUGUUUUUUAUGUUCUGGAGCUGCCAUCGUCUUAUUCGGACCCUUCCCCGCAUAUGAUCCCGCGCAACAACACGCAACUGCUAAGCGGAUAUGGAAACGAGAGCAGUUCGCCUCUUUCGAGGGAUGUCCCAAUCGCUUACCCGAGUCGACCCAUGGCCCAUACCCCUAUUUUGUUUGAUCUAUACCCAAAAGGUAUGGAGCUCUUAAGCCCUUUUCGAGGCGAGGGAUGGAUAUGGGCUUCCCCUGCCAACAUCUCUAGUACUAAUUCUGGACCUCUUCCCAAGCUGGGAACCAGUCACUCUUUAAUUCGGGGAAUCGAGAUGCUGUUUACUUUGCAGAGGAUGGACCCGCGGGAGCCCUAAAGCAUGUGCCAGAGGAUAUAGGCCUAAUGAUGACCCACCCCGUGCUUCUACAACUACCUGUGUGGGUUACCUUGACCCAAAGCUAGGAAGUAGCUUUAUUAAAUUCAAUAUUAUUUCUAGAGCAAGCUGGUUAUUUGGGCGAAAGUUGUGAAUCGUAUGGCAAGCUUGGGAGCCAUUCCUAAGAAAGUGCAAACUUCUGUUCGUGUAGCAUUCCUCCGUUCCUGGGCCUGGACCACCUCUUCAUCACCCGAUUUUGCCUCGGGAGAAUGGAUUUACAAUUCCAAAAGUAGAUUUGAUCUCACCUAGUGGCUGCCAGUGGCACUAUUUCCUGGCGCAUAUCAUAAGAUCAACGCGCUGCACUCUUGUUCGAUUCGUGCCGGUGCCGGGAUACAAUACAGAUCAGAUCUUUCUCUUUAGCCAGGCCAUUCUCUAGAGGAGAGUUCCGAGAAUGAAUUCCAAUCUGGUACCAAUCUCCGAAAUCGUAUUGUAGAGUUCAAUCAAAAGGAAAGAAAGAGUUCUCACUUUCCAGUGCGCCAGUUGAAGACUGCAGUUCUCCAGGGCCAACAAAUCAAACUGCAAUCGAUACCCAAUGAGUAAUAAUGUGUAGAAUAAAAGAACGGAUCGGGACCUACACCUAAGAUUUCGGAUCUAACUAGAUCUGGUUCGCUUGUGGCUUCAGGAGAAGUGCCAGCUUGAUGAACCGACCCAAGCAAUAGUGGCACUCCCUUCUUCGUCUACUGCGGCACGCUAGUGUUCUCGUAGAUUAGAUGAAUAAAAGUGUGAGCCAAGGGAAUCCAUAGAGAUUUGCAUAGCAUAAAAAAUAGAAGUUGUGCUGCCAUCUCUUUUAUCAUCGGCAACAUUGUCUUCUUCGAAGUGAGUUCCGGCAUGAGUGCUUAUAGAACGGAUGGGACUGGGAUUGAGAUUUUAAGUAGUGGUUGCGUGCGCCGGUAAGUAGAGUAGUGGUUGCGUGGACGUGUGCUGACUCGAACUCGCUGGUAAAGAAAAGAGAGUAGAGUCUAGGGAAGUCUAUAUAAGGGUGCCGCUUCCAUCCCUCUAGUACGGAAGAUAUCACUCAUAUCGGCCGCAAAGGCCAGGCCAGGCCAGGAUUGAUCCCUGUUCUGUUCAAUUCUACGCAUGAGUCAAAGCAAAGCCGUGGAAAAGAAAGAAUAGGAUGUUGGGUACAUCGGUCCCUUGGUCUCAUACAGGUGUGAACAAGUCGGUUGUUAUCAUGCCCAACCCAAAGAAGCCAGAAGUCUUUCUAAAAUACGCUCAAGAACCCGUGUUUUUGAGGCAACAUCAGCCGUUCUAUCACUUUUGAAUGUCAUUGCCCACCUUGGAAAGACGAUUUGCUUUAGUGAACUGACACAUUGAUAGGUAGUGGAAUCCGGGCUUGGGAUCAGUGGUAGAAUCCGGACUUGGGAUUGGGAUCAGUGGUAGAAUCUGUUGUUAUCUAGCGAGGAAUGAAAGCACUCGUUUGUUCCGGUUCGGAUCCGAUUCUGGUUCAUAGGUUGGUAAGCCUCCCGCAUACGCGACUUGUGAUUUCACCUCAUCAGAACAAAAUUCAUAGGGUAGGGUUUCGAGAUCCCCAACGAAGAAGACGGAAGGUUUUCGAGGAGUUUUUCCCCCUUCCUCUUGGUUAUGUAGUUGGGGAGGGGUGGUCAAGUUCUCUCCUUACCUAGUUUUAGGUCCCACUUCCUUGGCUCGAUAAGCUGAUUGAGAUCGUUCAAUUUCUUGGGUAGAUCAACUUGUAAUUUCGAAUUUCUUGCCCUCCUCUACGGAAAGUAGGCGAACGUCACAUUCAUUUUUGAGACCCAAACUAUACUAUACUAUACUAUAGACCCUCACGCCAACUGCCACUAUUUUCGAAGUUUUGUAUCUUUCGGCAUACGCUUUAACAACGUCCCCCGGUAAACGAUCUCCUUUUCUUUUGUACGAGCGAAUCAUCUCUAUAAGUUCAUUUCAUAGCCUUGCCUAGACUAGCGGUGGGGUUUGGUCCCUUGCCUUUGAUUGACUUGACUUGCCUCGUAGAAAGCAAAAGCACUGGCAGUUUAUGAACUAGAUAGAUCCCAUGACUUUCCCUUGCCCGAAGUCAACAAAGGUCAGAAUGAAACCGUAUCCAUCCACACGAGAAACUAGCUGCUAUGAACCAAGGUUCUGUUCUCAUAUCCCGGCAAGCAAAUAGGCCAGUGCUCAAACUGGUAGUAGAGAGGGCUUUCAAGUAAAGAUAGUCAAGAUCUCUAUUCUCCAGGAGGAAGGAAUCUCAGAUCCGCCAAUUCAGAGAAGAGGGAUUCGUUCUAUUCUCGCAACAUCCAUUAGCCAAGUGCCCACCCAAUUCGUACAGUCCAAUCCUGGCUUGUCAAAGAAGAAAUCUGUUGAGUGAAUGGGAUCAGUGGUAGAAGUGCCAGGUGCUAGUGCUCAACCCAAAAGACAGGUGCUGAGUUGAAGAAUAAGCCGGGAACGGAGGAAGCAAAGAAAGCGGAUGCAAAAGAAAACGGAUUUCGUAGUCGUCCUAACGCGCAACGCCGCUAAAGGCUAGUGCGCUCAAAGUAUAAGUACAAGUGUAGUGCAUCCGUUGCUACUGACUACCCUUCAUGGGCAACACAAUUAGUUUAGUUAUGAGUUAUGCCCUUUUUUAUCGAUCAAGAAAUUAGAGAAAUGAUUUCUAUCUCUAUUGGGCUGGGCCAUUGAGAAUGAUCAAUAGUAUUCUACUCCGGUAUCAGGAACGUAAGAACUUCCCGAUGUAAGGAAAUCACUCCGAUCACUGGGCGCCUGGGCUAAUUGAAUGGGGCAUAUGAUCCAUACGCUCGCUAAGAUGAAUUUGUCACAUUUCUUUAUGAGAUUUUUGAUAGCGUAUUUGUAUUUCUAUAAUAUGAGAUUGUCCAACCUGAACUGAACCGAGUGCAUUUGAGCAUAUAGGACAGGGCUCACUAAUGUGGAACGAAUCGUAGUCCUCGUACGUAAUAUUCUUCUUUGCCUUGGGCUGAGGUAGGGUCAACGGCUGAAUUAGCAAGUGAAGUGGAUGCAUGAGUGCUUCCAUGAGCGGAAGGAAGAAAGCCUGCGAAUAGCGAAUCUGUUCAGUGGUCAAUAAAGCCCUUGCUGCUAGGAAAGCGGUUCUGUCCAAAGCUCGGGAUAAAAGGUUAAGCACUUCUCUGCGGCACUGGCACUUGAUACUGGCCAUAGGUUGACACCCUUGUUAGUAUAUGUUCACUUCAGCAGAGCAGAAAAGAUACCAACAGCAGAAAUACUAGUCCAGCCCCGUGAGAAGCAUUGGCAAGGAUAAGCUUUCCAUGCUCCCAGCUUGAAUGUGUAUCUUUUAGCCUGAGCUGACUAGUACUAGUUCCUUGUGAAGUGCAAGGGAACGAACUCAAGUAUAGAUUGGCAGAACGGGUUUUUGAAGCGGGUAGCACCACCUUAAGAUGGAAUCGAUACUAGAGAAAGGGGAAUGGAAUCGAGCCUAGAUCACUUACUUUACUAGAUCAAUAUCGCUCUUCCUAAAGGUUCGGCUCUAGCCUCUGUAAAAAGUGAAGAGAAGCCCCACCCCAGAUAUGCCUAGGCUAUGUAUGUUGUUCCGUCUAGUCUAGUCUUGUUUUUCUAAGGAAAUAAACACCUACUUUUUCUAAGGAAAUAAACAGCAAUGCUGUGGUGAAAGAGAGUGGUAUGGUAUCUUCACUAUCGCAAUGUUUUCAUGUUCUCAAUGAAUCACUAAUUCCCUAGGAAUAGCACAAGAUGAAGCCCGAAUGGUAGAAUCUCGUCGUAAUGGAUUGGAUCUAAGCAAGAUUCCUGAUUCAUGUACUCUCCUAGUUGGGUUGUCCGUCUUCAACAUUCCUCCAUAAGACAGAUUUCCUCGAUUCCUUGCUAUAUUCUAUUCUCGAACAGAGGUCAGUCCCGCUUCCUCCUCUUUUUUGAGUGAGUGGCUUUCUCUUUUUAGAAGUCGAAGUCUAGACCUGGCUAAGUCUGGCACCUUUCUUGUAGCAGGGCUACGUCCUAAUGGAUUGUUUCACGCUCGAGGCACCUAGAAUGUCAUCUUUGUCCAGAGCAGAGGAAUGAGGACUUUCUUUCACUGAAAAGCAAAGCGGGCGGGCUGGUGUUGGUCAACCUCUACCUUGGCCUAUGAGAAGCUGUAGUGUAGGUUGUUCUACAAAGGCGGCUUGUCCCUCAUCAAUCUUGUGGAUGAGUCUCUCUGCUCCAAACCAUUGGGAUGAAUCGAUUCCAUAGCACAGGCGCGUGCGCUGAGGAAGAGCGGUAUGGAUGGAGUCGAGAUCCAUUGCUGCCGCAGUCAUAGGUUCGUUAGUCAGCUCAGAAGCAAGCAUGAGCACGCUGUGACAAAGAAGUCCUGUUCCUGUUCUAUUUGAAGUUGAAGGUGCUCUGGUGCAAUCCUUACCGACAGAAAAAGAUUGCAGUCGGGUUGAUAAUAAUCGAGUGCCAUUACUUCGUCGGUCCGAACCAAGGAAAGGAAUCCGUUAGAAAUGUUUUGAAAUGGAUAUUGUUCUCUCUUUGAUUAGGGAUGCUAUAUGAAAAGAAGUGGAGUUUGAAAAAGGGAACGGAAUGGUCAAACCGGAACUGCUAGAGGAACGAAUUUUCAAUAGCAUAACUUGGGCUCCUAGAAUAUGGGUGGGGCCCUUGGGACAAUCUAUUUGAUUGCAGGGACAGGUACGCUGAAUAUGACUGGGGAUUUUCCUAUGGGUAUUGGAGCGGGUCCAAGCAGAUUAAAGAGGAUGAGUUGUCAGAGACUGCUAUUUAUUCGAAUUAUUUAUGGUAUAUUUAUCAUAAAAAGGGGGAGGUGCAAGAGACUGAUUCGGACUUCUUGCAGAGUGGAACAAUGCAGUACCAGACACGAGAUAUAUCUUUCAAAGAAGAAGGCUUUUUUCGAAUAAGCCAAUUGAUUUGGGACCUUCGGAUCCAUUCUUUUUCCUAUUCAAAGAUAAGGCCUUUGUCUCUGUGUUUUCACGUCGAGAAUUCUUUGCAGAUGAAGAUGAAGAGAUGGCAAAGCGGCUUAGUACCAGUACCUGGAGAAAAAA